ACACAUGCAAGUCGAGGGGAAACGACAUCGAAAGCUUGCUUUUGAUGGGCGUCGACCGGCGCACGGGUGAGUAACGCGUAUCCAACCUGCCCACCACUUGGGGAUAACCUUGCGAAAGUAAGACUAAUACCCAAUGACGUCUCUAGAAGACAUCUGAAAGAGAUUAAAGAUUUAUCGGUGAUGGAUGGGGAUGCGUCUGAUUAGCUUGUUGGCGGGGUAACGGCCCACCAAGGCAACGAUCAGUAGGGGUUCUGAGAGGAAGGUCCCCCACAUUGGAACUGAGACACGGUCCAAACUCCUACGGGAGGCAGCAGUGAGGAAUAUUGGUCAAUGGACGAGAGUCUGAACCAGCCAAGUAGCGUGCAGGAUGACGGCCCUAUGGGUUGUAAACUGCUUUUAUAAGGGAAUAAAGUGAGUCUCGUGAGACUUUUUGCAUGUACCUUAUGAAUAAGGACCGGCUAAUUCCGUGCCAGCAGCCGCGGUAAUACGGAAGGUCCGGGCGUUAUCCGGAUUUAUUGGGUUUAAAGGGAGCGUAGGCCGGAGAUUAAGCGUGUUGUGAAAUGUAGAUGCUCAACAUCUGCACUGCAGCGCGAACUGGUUUCCUUGAGUACGCACAAAGUGGGCGGAAUUCGUGGUGUAGCGGUGAAAUGCUUAGAUAUCACGAAGAACUCCGAUUGCGAAGGCAGCUCACUGGAGCGCAACUGACGCUGAAGCUCGAAAGUGCGGGUAUCGAACAGGAUUAGAUACCCUGGUAGUCCGCACGGUAAACGAUGGAUGCCCGCUGUUGGUCUGAAUAGGUCAGCGGCCAAGCG
rnacentral:rRNA from 1 species